rnacentral:tRNA from 1 species
GGGCCUUUAUGGGAAAUUUGCUAGAGGUCGAUCUUGUAAAGUAUUGAAUUAAUUAAAGUUAAAUUCACCUUGCUUGGCUUUUAACCAAUUGGUCGAUGGUUCGAAUCCAUCACGGCCCACCA